CUCAUGACCUCAAGUAAUCUGCCCACCUCCGCCUCCCAAAGUGCUGAGAUUACAGGCGUGAGCCACCGUGCCCAACUUAAACUGCCCAAUUUUAAGGGAACAAUUGGGAAAACACUUGUUUAAAAAGGAAAUGAAGGAGUUGCCACGAUUGUGGUUAGCUGUGUGAAGACCCUAGAAAACCUAUGUAAACUCCUGGGGGCUCACAGUCUUACUGCCUGGUCAAGAACCUUAGAAAACUUAGAUGUACGUGUUAGGAGACCAGGUCUGAAAGCUCCCAGGGUUGUAUAAACUUCUAUACUAAGUUCCAUGAUACCCGAUGGGUAGUCCCACAUUUAGACAUGCUAUUGCUAUUGCUGCUUCCUUCCUUAUCAUGAAAAGAGCAGAAGAUGCAGACAAUACAUGAAGCAGGAAGACAAAGGGGAGACACUGAACUUGUCACCUACCUUUGGGUGCCCCUCAUGCUUCAUGUUUCCCAUUGAGCCUCACUUAUCAGUGACACAGGGAAUGGUCCCUUUGCUGUCCACUUUCCCCGUGGCUGCCUGGAGGUAGGAGAGGCAGAUCGUGUCACUUGCCGAGAUUAUGUUGCUGUGGAUUCGUUGGAGGGACAGGAACAGGAAAUCUUCCUGGUGGUGAAUCCUGACUACUCUGUGUCUGAUGACUGGAACUUACCGAGCGCUGCUUAGUUGCAUCAUAGACACCACCUGUCUUUGAACAGCUACCCUGCCUCUUGAUGAGAAUGCAAAGGCUGCCAGGGGCCACUGCUGUAUGGAGUGGAUUUCGGUCAUUUCUGCUUAGAGCACAGAGCUCAAGCUGUUGGACUCGCCGAGGCAGUAAAAGUACCAUAUCCUGUGUUUGAAUCAAACUCCAAUUUCCUGUAUAUAGAAGGCUUGCCAGACAGGAUUCCCUUCCGAAGCCCUACCUGGUUUGGAAUUCCAUGACUUGAAAGGAUCCUUCGUGGGAGUAAUAAAAUCAAGUUUGUUGUUAAAAACUUUGCAGUCCCCAAAAAAACCAUGAAGCCCUGAGAGUAAUGAAAAGCUUCCUGACAUUGAGGUCACUGUGGAAGAACCACCUAAGCUAAAGAUUCUUUUGAGAACAAGGGCUAGCCUGUGGUUUCAUGGCCUUUCUUCCAUUUGGGGUUCUUGCCAAGUGGAAUUUAAAUGACCUCUUAUCAAGAUGGAUAAACCCAAGUUUCCCAGUGCUGGAAUACAGAAAAUGGAUGGACAAGAUGUCUUUUUGUCACUUCCAGCUGGAUCUACCAUGAAAGACGUCAGAGUCCAGGAAGAGAGACUGACUGGGCAACAUGUUAUUCAGAAUUAGAGAAGAUGAUGUGGUGAUGGAAGAAGAGGUCAGAGAGGGAGAUUUGAAGAUGUUGCAGUUCUGGCCUUCAAGAUGGAGUCAGGGGCUAUCUUCAAGAGAGAAGAUCUUGAUCUGUGGCCCAGGCUGCAGUACAGU
rnacentral:lncRNA from 1 species